rnacentral:ncRNA from 1 species
AGGUUCCUUUGAUGCAGUUGCUGUUGCUAAUACGACAGUAUCUUCGUAUCUUACUAAAACUGCUCCAUUUGCUUGCUUUGCUAAUUGUCCUACUUCAACAGUAAGAGUUUUACCAGCAAGCUCCGUGGAAAAAACGUGCUUUUGUUGUUCCAUAUGGUAUAAAUACCCCUCUCUAAUUUACAAUUCAAAGUCUAAACUAAUUAUGUAAAAAAAUCGUAUAUUCUCUAUUAUCUCCUAUGUUUAGUAAAGAA